CCUACGGGUGGCAGCAGUGGGGAAUAUUGGACAAUGGGGGCAACCCUGAUCCAGCCAUGCCGCGUGUGUGAAGAAGGCCCUCGGGUUGUAAAGCACUUUCAGUGAGGAAGAACGCCUGGUGGUUAAUACCCAUCAGGAAAGACAUCACUCACAGAAGAAGCACCGGCUAACUCCGUGCCAGCAGCCGCGGUAAUACGGAGGGUGCGAGCGUUAAUCGGAAUUACUGGGCGUAAAGCGCGCGUAGGUGGCUUGAUAAGCCGGUUGUGAAAGCCCCGGGCUCAACCUGGGAACGGCAUCCGGAACUGUCAAGCUAGAGUGCAGGAGAGGAAGGUAGAAUUCCCGGUGUAGCGGUGAAAUGCGUAGAGAGCGGGAGGAAUACCAGUGGCGAAGGCGGCCUUCUGGACUGACACUGACACUGAGGUGCGAAAGCGUGGGUAGCAAACAGGAUUAGAUACCCGGGUAGUC
rnacentral:rRNA from 1 species